GCCUGCAAACAAACCACUCUUGUCAGUAACAGAACAUAGGGUCUUAUCUCCGUGAAACAGCCUGACCAGGCCCGUACCCAGGGGGGGUUGCAGGGGGUGCGAACGCACCCUCCCCACACACAACGGCCGAAGUCCACUUUUGGUUCUCAAUAGAGGUGCUAUAUGUAGACAAAACUAUAAAUCAUAAGCUAGAUCACUCUGGUAUGUAGCCAAAUCCGACAACAAACUUCCGGUUGAGAUACUGCGAAGGCAAAAAAAAUCCUUUUUUCCUCUUUCUUUCGAAGAUGGUUGGAUUUUUAUCAGAGGACGGAAAAUAAGGUCCUUUUUUUCGUAUUUCGCACCCCGCCAAGAAAAAUCCUGGGUAUGGGCUUGAUGCUGACAAUGCGGUGUUCAAAGCAACUAAUGUCUUCUCUGUUGACACUUUUUACUCGUAUGAUUCCCUAUAACUUUCAGGAGACUGAAGUCAAAUUUCAUCUACUUUCUUGAUUUGGGGAACUUUUGGUCAGUCCUUUUGACUGAUGAAUCUAAGGCUGUCAUCAUACUGAUGUCCCUGUUUCUCUUGAAAGACAUUAAUUAUAAAUCAAUGCACUGAGCUGUACUGUAUCUGUACUGUAUCUGUACUGUGUGUAAAUGAUCAUAAAAACGUUGUUUUAAAUGAUUGGCAAAAAACUUGUUUCACAGGUUGGUUAGGAAAAGAUACUCACAAUGUCAAUGAUGAGAUCUUCUGAUCCCGAUGCCAGCAUUCUUCCAUCAUGACUAAAACUUAGGGUUCGCACCGGCCAGCUGAAGCAACACGUUAGAUAGUACAUAAGGUAAUGAAGUCCAGUUACGUUUAUUUGGCCCAUUGCAGAUAAUAUCUGAAUUACAGGACAGUCUUUGAAUUCCAUGUAACCGCUAGACAUACCAACUAAGGACACACUGGGAGAGAUUGUCGGUUUCAAGCGAUAUGUAAAUACCAGGUCACGAGGCGCACAUGUCCCAGUUAAAUACUGUAAGGAGCUCCAAAUACGUCUCAUGUAUUAGAAAAAGCAGAUGAUGAAGUAAAUACUGUUUGAAGCCUAUUUUCGAACUAUCUUCUUGAAUUCAAAACUUUAAAAUGUAAUCUGACUGACCUGUUAUUUAGAUAUCAUGUGCAUUGUUUUGUUGUAAGCUCUGGGGUACAGCCAUUAAACUUUUUCUUUAAACAGAGGCUUGGUGAAUAUCUAUGCACCCUUACUCCUUCUGUAUAGUGGGCAUAGUGAAUUCAAAGCUAGACUUUAUUUGGGUAUACUUCCAAGGUAGUAGGGGGUUGGAGAAAAUUUAUAAAUAAACAAAAUUAGUGUCAAUAAUGGCAACUUACUCAAGUCUUGAGAAUGUCCUGACGCAGACCAACUCAUCCAGGUCCCAUAAGCUAACCAAAGCAUCAGCACUGCCAGUUGCAAAAUAUCUGGAAAAAAGAAAUGCUGCAAUAUGAGGCAAUAACUCUAACAUAUGAGAUAUACAUCUGGAGAAUUCUACUGAACCACCCUCGGGGACACAGGGCAACGUAGAGACCGGAAGCAGUCUCUGUGUCGCUCGGGAGGCGCAAAUGGCGAAUUGCAGUCCCAAGACCGACUACUGUUUUUUCGUAAUCAAGUAGUGAAAGAAGGUCACAAUGGCACAGUGAUAUGGGCUUUGAACCCCAAGCCAUAGGUGAGGUCUCUUCAUGGUUAUGUUGAUAAAUUUAAGUUUUGUAAUCAAGUAGUGAAAGAGGGUCACAAUGGCACAGUGAUAUGGGCUUUGAACCCCAAGCCAUAGGUGAGGUCUCUUCAUGGUUAUGUUGAUAAAUUUAAGUUUUGUAAUCAAGUAGUGAAAGAGGGUCACAAUGCCACAGUGAUAUGGGCUUUGAACCCCAAGCCAUAGGUUAGGUCUCUUCAUGGUUAUACGUACCUUAAGAUAUUAAUACAGCCAUGGCCAUUUGUGAGGAAGAACAAGUCAUUUGUAUUGUUCCAGGAUAUCUCAUUCACCUAACAAAAACAAUAAAA